GAAUCCAACAACAGAUAACCCAGUAGCAGAUUGAAAACCAAACAGAAAUAGCCCAGGAACACCAAAUGAAUAAUAGUAGCUCCGGAAGAUGGAUAUCAACAAAAACCCAAGAUAUAUCACACUGAAAACCCAGUAACACUCCAGAUGCACUCACAGUUAAAGCAAAAGUGAGGAAGAUGCAAGAAAAGUGGUAUUUUCGCUUGUGAACCCUCAAAGAAACGAAAUGAAACUUUGAAGUAAAGCUCAGCCUUAAACUUUCAAGGAGGAACUAAAAGAAAAAUGAUUUCUAUUCUUAA
rnacentral:lncRNA from 1 species